CUCCUGCUGCAUGCCCUGAUGCAAGACAGGCCAGACUCUGUGCUUGCCUAGCCUGCGCUGAGUAGCCUCCAGUAACCAAGACUGUGAAGCUCCUCUGGAGAUGCCUUUCAAGAGCUUCCUCCAGCUUUUUUUCUGUGCUUCCUUCCUCCUUGUAGCAAGACAAUGAAGCAGAAAACUAAAGGGGAGGAUGAACUGCAGAGCAGGGCGGGUCCUGUCCUGUGCUCAUCCCCUGUGGCUGGGGGGAUAUCCACACAUACAAUUCUGCUUCUUUAACAGAACUCAGCUCUGGGUACAACCAGCGGUUUGCAGCACUGGUGAAGAACUUGGUGCUGAGCCACCCCACAGCCCCGGGCUUUGCCAUGCUCCCCAUCCCCAGGAGAACAGGACUGUGGCUAUCUCUCCCCACAGGACCUCCACCUUGGAGGUGGCUGCAGCUGCUUGGUAUCCGCAUGUCCCUUUCCUCCCUCUCCUUCAUUAAGGCACCAAACUCUUCCCAAUAACAAGGGGGCUUCUGUUCGACAAAGCCUGCCAAUUAGUCAUUCUGGCUGGGUAUAAACGUGGCACUUGAGCAGCUGAGGGGACGGCGGGCAGUCCUGCCCCUUCUCGCGGCGUUGCCAAGCUUGCCAUUAACACAAUGUGACAACUAAUCUCUCUAUAGCAUCUGACUGAGCAAUUUUAAUUAAUAGCUCUGUACGCUUGCAUGCUCCCCCACCCCCUCUGCUUCGCACAGGUACUGCAUGCCUUCAAAGCUCCUUCCCCUCUGCUGCAGCCUGAGUGCACAAAAGGAGGAAAACAGCCUGUGUUUUGCCCCAGUUAGCAUGGAAAUGCUGCUCGGUUUGGGGUUCUGGUCCUUGGGCUGAGGCAAGGCUUGCUGCCCACCCCGUUCCCCCUCCCUUCUGUGGGGCUGAGGACUUCAAUAAACACGGUUGCUCUGGGGCGGAGGUGUUUUCUCAGCUCUGUUGGCGAUUGGGACAUUCCUGUGGUGCCCUGUGAGAGGCAAGGAGCUGGCAGGACUGUGCUGGCUUCACAGACUGGAUGUGGGGGAAAUGGAGGGAACUAAAGGGGUAUUUCUGCUACUCCUCCAAAAAAAGCCUCCCUGGCUUUAUCCAAGUGCCUAUAGCAUCAGAAAAAAAUUAAUGCCAUUUCCAUGUCCAGGUUGUCCCCUGAUGUGAAGAGCCACAGCCUGGCAGAUGGCUGCUGUUGAGGCUGCUGCAGUUUCGGUGCGGAGGUGUCUCAGUUUGCUUUUGGACAACGGAAAAGGCUCAUCCAUGGUGGUAUUGAGUAGCCAAGACCAAAGAUGGUACCGGGGUGACUGAACAUGAUAAAAUUGUUCAGACUUUGGGCACUUACCUGAAAGGAAUACAUCUUGGAGAAAUAUGUCUCUUCUCAUGGUAAUAUGGCUCAACAAUCACUCUGCUGCAGGUCCCUCCUGCCUAGGGGCUCCUCAGAGCUCUUUCUUCAGACCACCAGAGCAAGUCCUCAAGGGCACCAUGGCACACUUGGGCUUGAGCAGAACAUCCACACUUUCUUCAGGUUCAUGCUCUUGUGGUACAUGGAUAUGUGCACUGUCACCUUGGCAGGACAACUGUGGCAUCAGGAGCCCAUAGCCUUGAAGAAUGACCAUGCAGGAAAAGGAGAGCAGAAACCACCACAACUGGAAAUGGUCCUUCCAGGUCACAACUGAGGGAAGCCCUUUCUCUCAAGAUACGGCUGUGCUGGUGGAUAACACAGCAGUCUGGGAAUACCCAUCCACUGUGGAAACAUUGCUCAUUAUGGACAAAUACAGAGCUUGCCCUCCCAGUGGAGAGAUAGCACACCAGGACACAGAGGGGUCACUUUGGCCAGACAGCUGGUGAAUGUAUCCACCCAUCUGCAACCUGGGAAGCAUGAUGUGCACCAGCCAUGCCCUGACCCAGUCCUGAGAAGAGCAUCUCUGCCCUGCAGUGCAGACCAGGGGGAUGCACGGGGAAGCAGUGCAGAAGCCAGUGCUCCCCGGCACGUUGGUGGCAGGCGGACAUGGAACCUGCCCCAUCUGCCCACGCGGCAGCACGGCAGGGAGCUAAUGAGAAGCAAGGUGAGAGGCAGGAGACAGGCUGACAACUUACUGGCAGAAGGACGGCAUCUGCCCCCCUCCCCUUCCCCAGCAUCUCCAGCCUCAUAAUGAGGUUAUUACUGGCCUGCUGCUUGAUGGCCAGCACCAGCAUCCCUCACCUCUUCAUCCUCCCAAUUCCCACUUGUGGCUAGGGGAGGGCUGAGCCAGGCUUCACUCUGUCCUCACACUCGGGUUGGCCCCUCCUAGGAAGGAGGAAUGGUUUUGACCUUGUUUGCAGAGGAGCUGGUGCUCCCGUGCUUGCUGCCUGUCCAUCCCCUUUAUUAUCUCUUGAACGCUUCUGGCCUGUUGCAGUCUGGUUUGACAGGGGGAGAAGUCUCAAAGAUAAUUAAGUUCCUACAAGUUCUGUGAAAAUAGGCAGGCAGAAGAGGGGAAUGCACUAAGGGCUUCUGGGGAGGAGUGGGCUCCUGACGGGGAGGCUGAGCCUUGGAACGGCAGCUGCCAUGCUCAUGGAGCUCAUGGAAAGCCCCUUCUGAGACCUGGCUUGGAAAACUGAGGAAGCUUGCUUAACGAGGUGUUUUCUCUCUUUGGGUCUGCCAGAGGAAGGGUAGGAUUUCACAGGAUAUGCCCAGGAGUGCUGAGAU